rnacentral:rRNA from 1 species
CGGGGUGAGUAAUGUAUGGGGAUCUGCCUGAUGGGGGGGGAUAACUACUGGAAACGGUAGCUAAUACCGCAUAAUGUCUACGGACCAAAGCGGGGGGACCUCCGGGCCUCGCGCCAUCAGAUGAACCCAUAUGGGAUUAGCUAGUAGGUGAGGUAACGGCUUACCUAGGCGACGAUCCCUAGCUGGUCUGAGAGGAUGAUCAGCCACACUGGGACUGAGACACGGCCCAG